AUUGAACGCUGGCGGCAUGCCUUACACAUGCAAGUCGAACGGCAGCACGGGAGCUUGCUCCUGGUGGCGAGUGGCGAACGGGUGAGUAAUACAUCGGAACGUACCCAGGAGUGGGGGAUAACGUAGCGAAAGUUACGCUAAUACCGCAUAUUCUGUGAGCAGGAAAGCGGGGGAUCGCAAGACCUCGCGCUCUUGGAGCGGCCGAUGGCGGAUUAGCUAGUUGGUGAGGUAAAAGCUCACCAAGGCGACGAUCCGUAGCAGGUCUGAGCAGAUGAUCUGCCACACUGGGACUGAGACACGGCCCAGACUCCUACGGGCGGCAGCAGUGGGGAAUUUUGGACCAUGGGGGCAACCCUGAUCCAGCCAUGCCGCGUGAGUGAAGACGGCCGUCGGGUUGUAAAGCUCUUUCGGCGGGGAAGAAAUGGCAACGGCUAAUAUCCGUUGUUGAUGACGGUACCCGCAUAAGAAGCACCGGCUAACUACGUGCCAGCCGCCGCGGUAAUAC
rnacentral:rRNA from 1 species